AUUGAACGCUGGCGGCAGGCCUAACACAUGCAAGUCGAGCGGAUGAAGGGAGCUUGCUCCUGGAUUCAGCGGCGGACGGGUGAGUAAUGCCUAGGAAUCUGCCUGGUAGUGGGGGAUAACGUCCGGAAACGGGCGCUAAUACCGCAUACGUCCUGAGGGAGAAAGUGGGGGAUCUUCGGACCUCACGCUAUCAGAUGAGCCUAGGUCGGAUUAGCUAGUUGGUGGGGUAAAGGCCUACCAAGGCGACGAUCCGUAACUGGUCUGAGAGGAUGAUCAGUCACACUGGAACUGAGACACGGUCCAGACUCCUAAGGGAGGCAGCAGUGGGGCAUAUUGGACAAUGGGCGAAAGCCUGAUCCAGCCAUGCCGCGUGUGUGAAGAAGGUCUUCGGAUUGUAAAGCACUUUAAGUUGGGAGGAAGGGCAGUAAGUUAAUACCUUGCUGUUUUGACGUUACCAACAGAAUAAGCACCGGCUAACUUCGU
rnacentral:rRNA from 1 species